rnacentral:tRNA from 2 species
GCCGGGGUGGCGGAACAGGCAGACGCACAGGACUUAAAAUCCUGCGGGUAGCAAUACCCAUACCGGUUCGAUUCCGGUUCCCGGCACCA